CUAAAACCGACUGAUGACCAACUGCAGACGGAUACUUAGAGAGAAUUAGUAGUCAGAGCACGAAAGGUGAAAGCGUUACUAAGAGUCGACGAUAAAAAAUAGCUUAGUAGCCCACCAAGAGGGAAAGAGAUAACCCUCAAGGAGCUAAAGAGAAUCUCACUUUAGACCCUUUCGUUACUCGUUUUAUAAAA
ncrna:unclassified sequences IMES-1 RNA motif